rnacentral:lncRNA from 1 species
GGCAGUGUGUUGAUAUGCUGUUUGUAUAAUAACAACAUACUGCAGGAGGAUAGAGAGGCAGUGUGUUGAUAUGCUGUUUGUAUAAUAACAACAUACUGCAGGAGAGAGGCAGUGUGUUGAUAUGCUGUUUGUAUAAUAACAACAUACUGCAGGAGGAGAGAGGCAGUGUGUUGAUAUGCUGUUUGUAUAAUAACAACAUACUGCAGGAGGGAGGCAGUGUGUUGAUAUGCUGUUUGUAUAAUAACAUACUGCAGGAGGAGAGAGAGGCAGUGUGUUGAUAUGCUGUUUGUAUAAUAACAACAUACUGCAGGAGGAGAGAGAGGCAGUGUGUUGAUAUGCUGUUUGUAUAAUAACAACAUACUGCAGGAGAGAGAGAGGCAGUGUGUUGAUAUGCUGUUUGUAUAAUAACAACAUACUGCAGGAGAGAGAGAGGCAGUGUGUUGAUAUGCUGUUUGUAUAAUAACAACAUACUGCAGGAGGAGAGAGAGAGGCAGUGUGUUGAUAUGCUGUUUGUAUAAUAACAUCAUACUGCAGUAGAGAGAGAGGCAGUGUGUUGAUAUGCUGUUUGUAUAAUAACAUCAUACUGCAGG